AGUGAACGCUGGCGGUAGGCCUAACACAUGCAAGUCGAACGGCAGCACAGUAAGAGCUUGCUCUUACGGGUGGCGAGUGGCGGACGGGUGAGGAAUACAUCGGAAUCUACUUUUUCGUGGGGGAUAACGUAGGGAAACUUACGCCAAUACCGCAUACGACCUACGGGUGAAAGCAGGGGAUCUUCGGACCUUGCGCGAAUGAAUGAGCCGAUGUCGGAUUAGCUAGUUGGCGGGGUAAAGGCCCACCAAGGCGACGAUCCGUAGCUGGUCUGAGAGGAUGAUCGGCCACACUGGAACUGAGACACGGUCCAGACUCCUACGGGAGGCAGCAGUGGGGAAUAUUGGACAAUGGGCGCAAGCCUGAUCCAGCCAUACCGCGUGGGUGAAGAAGGCCUUCGGGUUGUAAAGCCCUUUUGUUGGGAAAGAAAAGCAGCAGGUUAAUACCCCGCUGUUCUGACGGUACCCAAAGAAUAAGCACCGGCUAACUUCGUG
rnacentral:rRNA from 1 species